rnacentral:rRNA from 1 species
UACGAAGGGGCUAGCGUUGUUCGGAUUUACUGGGCGUAAAGCGCACGUAGGCGGAUCGAUCAGUCAGGGGUGAAAUCCCAGAGCUCAACUCUGGAACUGCCUUUGAUACUGUCGAUCUGGAGUAUGGAAGAGGUGAGUGGAAUUCCGAGUGUAGAGGUGAAAUUCGUAGAUAUUCGGAAGAACACCAGUGGCGAAGGCGGCUCACUGGACCGGUAUUGACGCUGAGGUGCGAAAGCGUGGGGAGCAAACAGG